AAUUUAGUGCCAGCUAAAUUGGCACUUGUUCAUUCUUAUAUUGGAGAGAGAUUUGUUUGCCAUCCGCGACUGAAUCCUUGUAAGUCAAUUUAUAUACAAAUUUUAUAGGUAGUUAAGUUAGCAAUAUGGUUAUAAUAAAUUGGUUUGGUAGAGGUUGAACAUGGCGUGUCUAAUGUCUUUUCUCUUUGGUUUUUUCUGGGUAGAUUUCUGCCAAAGACUUCUUCAUAAUAUUAAAAUCCGUUUUGCCAGUUGUUCUUGAGUCAAGGAUAUAAAUAAACAUCUUAUGUGGGUUCUAGAAAAUGGGCUGACAUUAUCGUAUUAAGGGAUUGGGUCUGAAUAAAAAAUUAUCCACAAGUUCAAAAUAUGGAAAAAAGCAAUCUGCAUUACCAAUAUAUAUGCGUACUUGAAUAUAACCUCUUCCCAUGUGUCUGAGGCAAAGGGGUCCAGUGUAGCUCCCAUGUGCGUAUUUUGCAAAGAUGGAUCAGGAACUUUUCUGUUCACAAGAGUUAUGCUUUUAUUACCAAGAUACAAAGAAAGUUGGAGAUUAAUUAUUCUACCGAAAAUAUCAUAUUAAAAGUUUCCUCUUUCCGGUUAGGGUAGUGACAUCCUCCUUCGACCUCCAUUGAUUAUUACUCUACAAUACCAAAUUCGAUUAAUCUAUGAUGAGAGAUUUGCAAGAUUACCAUUUGUAGAAACUGAUGAUAUUCUUACUAGUACGGCUUAUCAAAUUACAAACAAACUUCUUUCAUUCAUCAGAUUCACCAUAACAUGUUGCAUGGAUAGUUGGACACACAAAUAUAAACUGUCCAAGUGUGGAUUUGCCAUUAUUACUGUUGUCACAGCCUCAUCGCUCUCAAGAAAAUCACAAUCCCUGCAUCUACCACUGCAGCAGGCCCCACCACC
rnacentral:lncRNA from 1 species